CGAGUCCCCACGUGUGCUACUUUAGCAAAGGAAACAUCUUCAGAUGUAUUUCGGCUCGUCCUACAUUUCUCAAAACGUUCACCUUUUCUCAUCUUUCCCUUGUGAGUCAUUUAUAUGUGAAACCAGGGCAGGCAAGAAUACUCUCCGCUGAUCACUCUCCACCCUCAAUUUUCUAAGCUCGUGUUUGCGUGUUUUUGCUUUUGGUUGUUUAAAGAGUUUCUGACGUUUUCCUUGUUAUCCCGCAGCGUUGUGUACGCGUGUGAUCUCCGCACAGAAGGAUGUGCAUCUAGGCUUGUUUUUUAUCAAACGAUGAAACACGGUGUAUUUAUGCACCCGUCUCUUCUAGCUGCGGCAUGUUUUCACGUUGGAUCUUACUCUACUACUUCUUACCCCGACAUCAUUACUCUCCGCUUUAAUCCCUCCCCACCUCUCUUUUUACCCACUGUUUCCUCCAGGGAUGUGACUUAUGCUGCACCGACUCUUUGUACAUACAGCACAGGUAUCUCUGAGAAUAGACGGCAGUGUCUUUCUUGGUUCUUCAGGGAGCGGGGAAAAGCAAAGGGAGCCCUGAAGCUGUCUCACAGGCACAAAACCAGAAGAGGAAAAAAGGUCUUCUUCACACGCCCAUCUUCAAACUAAUGGGGAACUGUGCAUUCCAAACCUGAGCGCCAAAACUUUGGAAUAAUAUCACUAACUGCUGACUCUGGAAUAUUUGAGGAAGUUUCCCGACUGGAUGUUAUGGACAGCUGGCAUUCUUUCACGGUACCACGCUGGUACCUGCCUCCUGAGAGCGACCUGUACUUUCACAAACGUUUGUAGAAGCAAUCUGGCCCAUGGAAGUGACUGGAACACCUGAAUUCAAUGCUUUGGACGGGUGACUAAUCCCUUUGGCAAUACAGUGUAGGUGAGUAAUUUUUGUGUUUUUAGUUGCAGCCAUAUUGAGCAGCAGUUCAGUGUGGCUGGAACUCAAAGCCAAGAUCAGAUUCAUUAAAAACAACCCAGUUUGAAACAAUGGGAUAAUCAGGGG
rnacentral:lncRNA from 1 species